AUGAACGCUGGCGGCGUGCCUAAUACAUGCAAGUCGAGCGAACGGACGAGAAGCUUGCUUCUCUGAUGUUAGCGGCGGACGGGUAAGUAACACGUGGAUAACCUACCUAUAAGACUGGGAUAACUUCGGGAAACCGGAGCUAAUACCGGAUAAUAUUUUGAACCGCAUGGUUCAAAAGUGAAAGACGGUCUUGCUGCCACUUAUAGAUGGAUCCGCGCUGCAUUAGCUAGUUGGUAAGGUAACGGCUUACCAAGGCAACGAUGCAUAGCCGACCUGAGAGGGUGAUCGGCCACACUGGAACUGAGACACAGUCCAGACUCCUACGGGAGGCAGCAGUAGGGAAUCUUCCGCAAAGGGCGAAAGCCUGACGGAGCAACGCCGCGUGAGUGAUGAAGGUCUUCGGAUCGUAAAACUCUGUUAUUAGGGAAGAACAUAUGUGUAAGUAACUGUGCACAUCUUGACGGUACCUAAUCAGAAAGCCACGGCUAACUACGUG
rnacentral:rRNA from 1 species